rnacentral:rRNA from 1 species
GCUUAGAGUUUGAUCCUGGCUCAGAACGAACGCUGGCGGCGCGUCUUAAACAUGCAAGUCGAACGAGAACCUCAGUGCUUGCACAGAGGGGACAGUGGCGAACGGGUGAGUAACACGUGGAUUAUCUGCCUCUAGGAUCGGGACAACCGUGGGAAACUGCGGCUAAUACCGGAUAAUAAGGCAACUUUAAAGGUGGGGACCUUCGGGCCUACUGCCUGGAGAUGAGUCCGCGGCCCAUUAGCUUGUUGGUGGGGUAAUGGCCUACCAAGGCGACGAUGGGUAGCCGGCCUGAGAGGGUGAUCGGCCACAUUGGGACUGAGAUACGGCCCAGACUCCUACGGGAGGCAGCAGUUAAGAAUCUUGCGCAAUGGGGGAAACCCUGACGCAGCGACGCCGCGUGAACGAUGAAGGCCUUCGGGUUGUAAAGUUCAAUAAGCAGGGAAGAAUAAGCACCAGGUAAUAUUUGGUGUGAUGACGGUACCUGCCUAAAGCCCCGGCUAACUACGUGCCAGCAGCCGCGGUAAUACGUAUGGGGCAAGCGUUGUUCGGAUUUAUUGGGCGUAAAGGGCGUCUAGGCGGGAAAUUAAGUUAGGUGUGAAAUCCAUGAGCUCAACUCGUGAAUUGCAUCUAAAACUGGUUUUCUUGAGUUCGGGAUAGGAGAGCGGAAUUCCAGGUGUAGCGGUGAAAUGCGUAGAUAUCUGGAAGAACACCAGUGGCGAAGGCGGCUCUCUGGCCUAUAACUGACGCUGAAGCGCGAAAGCGUGGGGAGCGAACGGGAUUAGAUACCCCGGUAGUCCA